rnacentral:rRNA from 1 species
CCUACGGGAGGCAGCAGUCGAGAAUCAUUCACAAUGGGGGAAACCCUGAUGGUGCGACGCCGCGUGGGGGAAUGAAGGUCUUCGGAUUGUAAACCCCUGUCAUGUGGGAGCAAAUUAAAAAGAUAGUACCACAAGAGGAAGAGACGGCUAACUCUGUGCCAGCAGCCGCGGUAAUACAGAGGUCUCAAGCGUUGUUCGGAAUCACUGGGCGUAAGGCGUGCGUAGGCUGUUUCGUAAGUCGUGUGUGAAAGGCGCGGGCUCAACCCGCGGACGGCACAUGAUACUGCGAGACUAGAGUAAUGGAGGGGGAACCGGAAUUCUCGGUGUAGCAGUGAAAUGCGUAGAUAUCGGGAGGAACACUCGUGGCGAAGGCGGGUUCCUGGACAUUAACUGACGCUGAGGCACGAAGGCCAGGGGAGCGAAAGGGAUUAGAUACCCCGGUAGUC